rnacentral:lncRNA from 7 species
GCCAGGAGGCAUGAAAGCACUGAAGCAAAUGCUGCCGUGCACUGGGCCCGGAGACAUCAGCUCCCAGCACGUCCCUGGCGGUGGAUGUGUGCACGCUCUGUGUCUGUCAGUGAUUGCUCCAAAGGCUUUGUAGUCAGCUGUGCGUGGCUGUUUUCUUUUUAGGGCGUGGGAACAGAGGGCAACUCGCUGAUGGGAGUGAUGGUGUCCUGCUCGGAAGUGGAUGUGCUGGGUGGCAGAAGAGGAUUCGUGGCCGAGUGUGGAAAAUCUCUCUGCUCGUUCCUGAAGUCUGGAUUGCCACCUUCAGCUCCUUUGACACCAUCUCCAAAGACAUCAGGACUGAGGAGGGGACCGUGACUCUGCAGUGGCCGGUGUUUCACCUCUCUGCAAACCUGAUAGCCACGCACCACCUCAAGAACCCGCAGGGAGUCCCUACCCGGUAGGAAGGGGAAGUUAAACUUUCCUGGCUUCACGGGCAGGGCAAACAGGGCCACCGCCUCCGUUCUCAAAAGUAAACCUCCCCCUGGCAGGAGUCCAUGCAAACAUGGGGCCGUUCUGGCUGAUGGCCACAGGAAGCAGUUCUAGGGAAGCACUAUGGAAAACCAGUUGUAUAAUGAACUGCUUUCCUCGCUUUUUUCAGCCCAUAGGACGGUGGAGCCGCUGAAAUACAGUGAGGUGGCCGCAGCUGCCUCUGUGACCUGGCAGAGAGCACAGAUGUGCAUCCAAAGCACCGUGUCCCU